GAAACCCUCCUGCUAGCCACAUGGCAUCCAGUCGGCUCCUGGAUUCCUUUGGAUGAAGGUGUAGUAGAACUCUCAGCUCCUCCUGCACCAUGCCUGCUUGGAAGCUGCCAUGCUUUCCGCCUUGAUGAUACUGGACUGAACCUUUGAACCUGUAAGCCAGCCCCAAUUAAAUGUUCUUUUUAGGAGUUGCCUUGGUCAUGGUGUCUGUUCACAGCAGUGGAAACCCUAAUUCAGACAGUAACCUAGCAGCCUCCCCUGACUCUAAACAACAUGAUGGGCUGACAGAUAAUGUCUUUCUCGCUGGAGGUCUUGGCCACCCCCAAACCCAGCUGAAGAGGGAAUUGGUCUGGAGCAAAGCCUGUGAGCCAAAGGUGUGUGUGCUGAUCCGAGGAUGGAGUCUUCUGACCGAGGUGAAGUCUAUUGUCCUGCCACAUCUGCAGCUUCCUGCAAGAAGCCACCACCUGCUGAGCAGCUGAGCUUGCUUUCCUGACGAGAUGCUGACAAAGCAGGAAGGAGAUCCUGGCAAAGAGGGGGAUGGAUUUCCCCCCCUUUAAAAAUUCAGACUCAAGAAUUAAAGUUGAACCUUGAUCAGA
rnacentral:lncRNA from 1 species